rnacentral:rRNA from 1 species
GAUGAACGCUGGCGGCGUGCCUAAUACAUGCAAGUCGAGCGAACAGACGAGGAGCUUGCUCCUCUGACGUUAGCGGCGGACGGGUGAGUAACACGUGGAUAACCUACCUAUAAGACUGGGAUAACUUCGGGAAACCGGAGCUAAUACCGGAUAAUAUAUUGAACCGCAUGGUUCAAUAGUGAAAGACGGUUUUGCUGUCACUUAUAGAUGGAUCCGCGCCGCAUUAGCUAGUUGGUAAGGUAACGGCUUACCAAGGCAACGAUGCGUAGCCGACCUGAGAGGGUGAUCGGCCACACUGGAACUGAGACACGGUCCAGACUCCUACGGGAGGCAGCAGUAGGGAAUCUUCCGCAAUGGGCGAAAGCUUGACGGAGCAACGCCGCGUGAGUGAUGUAGGUCUUCGGAUCGUAAAACUCUGUUAUUAGGGAAGAACAAAUGUGUAAGUAACUAUGCACGUCUUGACGGUACCUAAUCAGAAAGCCACGGCUAACUACGUG